UGUCAAUGAUGAUGAAUAUAUUUGCUACUCUUGACUGUUGGAUGACGAGUACCCACCAAGAUCUCUGAGACA